AGGAUAAACGCUGGCGGCGUGCCUAACACAUGCAAGUCGAACGCUCUCGGGCAACCGAGGGAGUGGCGGACGGGUGAGUAACACGUGGGUUAUCUACCAUCGGGUGAGGAAUACCGGCGAGAAAUCGCCGACAAUACCGCAUGCGCUUCGCAAGAAGUAAAGCUCGCAAGAGCGCCGGAUGCUGAACCUGCGGUCGAUUAGCUAGUUGGUGGAGUCAUGGUUCACCAAGGCGACGAUCGAUAGCUGGUCUGAGAGGACGAUCAGCCACACUGGGAUUGAGAACGGCCCAGACUCCUACGGGGGGCAGCAGUGAGGAAUUUUCGUCAAUGGGGGCAACCCUGAACGAGCAACGCCGCGUGCAGGAUGACGGUCUUCGGAUUGUAAACUGCUUUUCUCUGGGAAGAGAACGGACGGUACCAGAGGAACAAGCCCCGGCUAACUACGUGCCAGCAGCCGC
rnacentral:rRNA from 1 species